rnacentral:siRNA from 1 species
UAUCACUGAGAACCAAGCGGCGUU